GAAGUUCUCCUGAGAUUAGUUUGAGAAUGGUGGACUUGCCAAUGCCAUUUGGACCAACCAUUGCUAUUCGGCUGUCAAGGUCUAUACCAAAGUUCAAAUUCCUGAACAAGAUAGGCCCUCCUGGAUAACCAAAUGAUGCAUCGCUGAAACUUAUAAUUGGAAGCCCAGGUUUAUCAUCCGGCGUUGGGAAGUCAAAUUUGUAGUCUGGAU
rnacentral:misc_RNA from 1 species